rnacentral:lncRNA from 1 species
UGUGCCCCAGGGGCACAGCAGGGCAGGGGCCUCCCCCACGCCAGCCUCACCUGCUGUGGCCGCCUCUGCCUGGUGGCUGCUGGGUUGUGGCAGGUCUAGGGAGUCCUGGGAGGGACACUCAGGUGGCUCCAGCAGCCGGCAGUCUGCAGGGCACGAGGGACGAGCCCGCUGGGUCCUGUGCAGAGGAGGGAGGCACAAACCUUUUGUGGAGACAGGACGGCUCUCCCGCCCUCUGUCCUUCUCGCCUCCCUCUGGCCCGCGCUCGGGUGGACGUCUCUGGACAAGAGCCCAAGGGCCUUCCUCAAGUUCCAGCUCUGCCGCAGGCGGCUGCUUGACAGCACCACUGGGAACCGCUGUUUCCUCUUCUGUCACAGGGUGCCCACCCCCCUGCACCAGGAGGAGAGACACAGAAGUCGGCCCGGUGUCGCGCACUCGCCGCGGGGACAUUCCUGGACUSGAGUCUUGGGCAGUUUGAGGCCCAGUCUGGUUGAACCCCCAGGUCAGAAGGUGCAAGGGCUCCAAGGACCCGCCCACCACCCGUGGCCAAGGACAUCCAGGGCCCGUCUGGGAGACCCGCCG